AGUAUUCCACCCAUAUCGAUCCGUAUGGACCGUAUCUACCUAGUGGUGGAGUAAUUGAUCUGUGCGUCUCUUCAGAAUAUCUAUCCAUGCAUAUCCCCAUGCAUGGAAAAACGAGCGAGUUAAAAUUAAAGAAGUUUAGGAGGCAGUGAUCAUCAAUUCAUUAUCGAGAGUCGAGACAGAGCUUAUCCAUUAGCCUUUAUAAAUACUCGACCAUCUUAAUUCUUAUGGUUCAUCAUCUUUUAAAGAAAUUUUAGUGCUCGGUCGGCCGGUAGUAUAUAUAUAUAUCUAUUAAGCAUCUUGUAAAUGGCGGGUGGCAAAGGAGGCGGCGGUGGCGGAGGAAAAGGAGGCGGUGGUGGUAAAGGGGGAGGUGGGAGCAGCUCCUCUAAAGGUGGUGGCGGUGGAGGACCAGUUUAAGGAGGUAGUGGAAGUAGCUCUUCUAAAGGGAACAGCGCCGUUGGAGGAGGCUCAGGAGAGAUGAAGCCUCCAGGAGGAGAUGGCUCAUACAUUUCGAGGUCCGGUUUUGAAAGUAAUCCUCAGGGCUACUUUUCGGAUUUGCAUGCUUCUGGAAAGGCUAAAUAAAUCAUAGACUAACUAGCUGGAUCUUGGUAGACGCAUGUAAACUACUCGUAUGGAGUACCCUACUUUGUUUUUUUGUUGCUAUCCUACGUACUUUGAUUUUGUAGGCUUUUAUUUUGCUUUGUUUUCAUGAUUUUUUUUCUUUUAUGGGUGAAGGGGUUGUGUUGUGUUUGUGUGUGUAUCAGUGUGUAUUUAUAACUAAAGUUAGGAAUCGGGACGGUUCAUGAAUAGUUAGGAAUUGGGACAGUUUAAUGAAUCGUACCGUGCAAGGGCUUAAUUAUAACUAAAGUUUAAUAUGUUAUAUAUAUAAUUUUCUUAUUAAGAAUAAAUUUAAACUUUUUUAUUCUUAUUUUUU
rnacentral:lncRNA from 1 species